CCCUUAGAUGUCCUGGGCCGCACGCGCGCUACACUGAACGGAUCAGCGCAUUUUCCCUUCCCGAGAGGGACGGGUAACCUGCUGAACCCCGUUCGUGGUAGGGAUCGGGGCUUGCAAUUAUUCCCCGUGAACCAGGAAUGCCCAGUAAGUGCAAGUCAUAAGCUUGCGUUGAUUACGUCCCUGCCCUUUGUACACACCGCCCGUCGCUACUACCGAUUGAACGUUUUAGUGAGGUACUCGGACUGAGCCUCAGAAGAUUCACGUCUUUUGUGCUGCUCGGGAAGAUUCCCAAACUUGAGCGUUUAGAGGAAGUAAAAGUCGUAACA
rnacentral:rRNA from 1 species